UCUUCCAACCUGGACUGAGAGGCAAUUUUGAUGAGUACUGCAUCUGGCCCAGAUACUGGGGCCUGACCUGAUGUCCCCCAGAGGAGCUCUGCUGGACUCAGAUGGGCUUUCCCCGCUUUCUGCCUCACAAGUUCUCUGAUGAAGGAGGAGUAUCAGCUAUUCAUUUUGUGUAUGUGGCGCCUGAACCUUCAUGGUUUAUACACAUACCCUAUGGGUGGUCAGUAUGAUACCUGAAUGCCAGAGUUGUCAGCGAUCUUACUUUGGGGUGAAGCAGGGCAGAAGAAUUGAAAUAAAGACAUCAAGAUGCUUUUCAAUAAAUGUCAUCUGAAGACCAGA
rnacentral:lncRNA from 1 species